rnacentral:rRNA from 1 species
UGGGGAAUCAUGGUCAAUGGGCGAAAGCCUGAACCUGCGACGCCGCGUGAGUGAUGAAGGUCGUAAGAUCGUAAAACUCUUUUCAGGGAUCUUAAAGCCUGUCCGUCAACAACGGGCAGGUCUGACUCUCCCUGGAAGAAGCCCCAGCCAACUACGUGCCAGCAGCUGCGGUAAUACGUAGGGGGCGAGCGUUAUUCGGAAUUACUGGGUGUAAAGGGUAUGUAGGCGGCCCUUCAAGUCGCGAGUCAUAGUCCC